UACGAAGGGGGCAAGCGUUGUUCGGAAUUACUGGGCGUAAAGGGCGCGUAGGCGGCCGAUCAAGUCAGGCGUGAAAUUCCCGGGCUCAACCUGGGGGCUGCGCUUGAUACUGAUUGGCUUGAAUGCGGGAGCGGAUAGUGGAAUUCCCAGUGUAGAGGUGAAAUUCGUAGAUAUUGGGAAGAACACCAGUGGCGAAGGCGGCUAUCUGGCCCGUUAUUGACGCUGAGGCGCGAAAGCGUGGGGAGCAAACAGG
rnacentral:rRNA from 1 species